CACAAAGAAAGAUCGUUAUUCUACGUGUAAGCACAAAGCGCAGAAAAUAGUUCAGCUAGGCUAAUGCUAUUUCUGCUCAUGUCAUAUGCAUCUUUCUUUCUUUUUCUUUUUCUUCCAUCUUUUUUCUUCUAAGACUU
rnacentral:ribozyme from 14 species